rnacentral:rRNA from 1 species
CCUACGGGUGGCAGCAGUGAGGAAUAUUGGUCAAUGGUCGAGAGUCUGAACCAGCCAAGCCGCGUGAAGGAUGAAUGUCCUAUGGGUUGUAAACUUCUUUUAUAAGGGAAUAAAGCCAGGCACGUGUCCCUUUUUGCAUGUACCUUAUGAAUAAGCAUCGGCUAACUCCGUGCCAGCAGCCGCGGUAAUACGGAGGAUCCGAGCGUUAUCCGGUUUUAUUGGGUUUAAAGGGAGCGUAGGUGGGUUGUUAAGUCAGUGGUCAAAGUCUGGGGCUCAACCGUAAAAUUGCAAUUGAUGCUGGCAGUCUUGAAUACAGUUGAGGUAGGCGAAA